rnacentral:rRNA from 1 species
AGAGAGAGACAUGCGCGCAUAUCAAUAAGCGGAGGAAAAGAAACUAACAAGGAUUCCCUUAGUAACGGCGAGUGAAGCGGGAAGAGCUCAAAUUUGAAAUCUUCAAGGUUUUACCUUGACGAAUUGUAGUUUAAAGAAGUGUUUUCUGCUGAAGUUUUGGUAAAAGUUCUUUGGAAUAGGACAUCAUAGAGGGUGAGAAUCCCGUAUUUGACCAUUAUUUUCAGCUUUGUGAUACACUUUCAAAGAGUCGGAUUGUUUGGGAAUGCAGUCCAAAAUGGGUGGUAAAUUUCAUCUAAAGCUAAAUAUUGGCGAGAGACCGAUAGCGAACAAGUACCGUGAGGGAAAGAUGAAAAGAACUUUGAAAAGAGAGUUAAACAGUACGUGAAAUUGUCAAAAGGGAAGCGUUUGACACCAGUGUUGUUUUCUCGAAAAUCAAUUAAAAAUGGCUCGAUUUUGUAUUGCUUGAGACCUUAAAAGCUCACUGUACAUUUUUCGUGUCUUUUUUAAUGCACUUUUCGUUUAACAAGUCAACAUCAGUUUCUUUUGUUGUAAAAGGGUCAUUGGAAGGUGGCUUUCUUUUCGGAGAAAGUGUUUAUAGCCUUUGGCCUCUGCAAUCGGAAGAGACUGAGGUCUGCAGCGUAGACUCUUCGGGGUUAGAUACAUUUGUGCUAAGUUAUAGCUUUUUAUAGACAACUUGUUGACUAUAAUUAGUCUUGUAGCUUACUCGCUUAUGCUACUUUACCUACGCUUAGGAUGUUGAAGUCAUCGUAUCGCGC